UAUUACAAGAUACCGGGUACAGUUCCCUGUGCUAUUCACCACCAUGCUGUAAGGAGGCCCAAGCAGCCAUGUGGAAAGGACAACACGGAGAAGAACCAAGGCCCCUGGCUGACAGCCCAAGCUGAGGUCCCAGCCAGCAGCCAGCACCAAACAUGGAAGAAGGAUCACACUGUCAGGCAGCCUUUGGAAAACCUCACUGUACACUCCUGAGAGAAUGAGAGUGAAAAAGGCAAGUAUUGUCCUCCUGUUGUUAUGAAAAUAGUUUUGACCUCACAGAUCCCCCGAAAGGAUCUCCAAGAACCCCAGGGGCCCCAGGCGUAUUUAUAAAAUUGCUGCUGGAACAGGGAGGGACCACUUCAUGGGCACAGGACCAGUGGAGGCACACAGAGCCCUGUGCUCUGAAGAGCCCCACGUUUGGGGUUUAAUGCUCUGUAGUCGCCAUCAUGAAGUUCUUAAGAAUUUAAUCUUUGAAUUUGUGUUUCAUAAGUGAAAUCCAGUGGGACGACGGGGCAUGCACCAGAGGCUUGGAGCCUUGGCUCAUGCACUGUCCCCCACUUCUGAUGACUCCCUGCCUCCCAGGGACCAGCUUGAGCCACCCACUCCCCCCACCUUGGUGCGUUGGGCCUUACCUGGCCUGCCUUCCUGCCCAGCAACCACUGGCACCCUCGUUCCUGGUGGGAGCCUUGGCUAGGGCAUGGGAAGGAUCAGAGUUGGGCACAGUGCACUCGGUGGUGGCUCAGGCAGCUGACCUCACCCCAGAGUAGAAACACCCUGGCCUCGGGGCAAACCUCUCACCCCUCCCCAAAUCUAGAUACCUACCACGUCCUGGCACGAAGAUCGCAAUACCUUUGAGGUUCUCCCAUUCCUGUGGGUGAGGGCAACUGGCCUAUGGGAAGGGGACAUUGCUGGUCUCGCCAGGGAAGGGAACCUGGCAGCUGCAGUGCCCCGUGCAUGCCUGCUGCCAAGGGGACUGCCCCCUAGGGAGCCUGUGAGGUCUGCACUCAGCCUGCCAGUAGCCCUGGGCCCAGGGGAACCUGACAUUAAAUAGCAAAUUAGAAACACCAGGACAGGUGGAGGGAGGAUCGGGGAGGGAGAGACAGUGAACAAAAGAGAAAAGCUUUUUAUUUUAGUACCUUUGUGGAACUUAUUUACUGCUGUUUGAACCAGGGCCCCCAUUUUCACUUUAUAUGGGAUGGCAAAUUACAUAGCUGGUCCUGUAUAUAGACUCAGGAAAUAAUUAAGACACUUGAGUGUUCCUGCCCUCGGUCCUAAUAAACCUACAAGAGUAAAUUAUCCUAAGUGAAUGAAUUCAAAGGGGAAUUAAAAACUAUAAAUAAAGGUACUUAGAACAGAUGUAAUUAUUUAUAGUCAAAAAUAAUAAUCUAUGAUUGAUAACAGAAAAAUGACUGAGAAAAAUUAGUUUUCCUUUAUCCUCUAAAAUCUGUUCCUCCCCUAAUAUUCUUCAUCUCAUCUCUGUCCACUGAAAAGAACUAGAAAUAAUGACCAAUCCUGAAGAAAUGAGCUUCCUUAGAGGCCAGAUUCUGGUUUCUAAAUAUAUUUCCUAUUAAAGGGAACCGAGGCUCCUUAGAGAAACGGCUGAUUCCAGGUCUAGGGCAGCAGAUGUACAUCUUGACAUACUACAAAGCAAGGAAGCUCUUAAAGAUGAUUGCCAACGGGUCAUAAGACUCAGAAACCCAGUACUUUCAACAAUUCCUGGCAAUUAAUAUGCCUAAACACCAAAAGUGAAAACAAGCCUGUGUGGAUGUGUGGAAAGGUGAAACUGGAACAGUGUUGGCUAUCUGCUUACCCUCUGUAUUCAAAACCUGAUAGCAAAGGACUGUCAUUCAUCUUCUAGCUCAAUACCUGGAACAUGGCUCCAAAAAAUGGUUACUGUUUGGGUGGGUAGAUAGAUGGUUGCAUGAUGAAUAGAAUGGAAAGGUAAGAGAAACUAUAAAAUUGUUUUACUAAUAAAUAAAGGGAUGAUUGUGGAGAGUAGCAAUGCCAGGAGCUUUCUCUUCAAAUUCUAUUCGAGUAGCUAGAAAAAUUCCUAAAAUGAACUAUUUCCAGCAACAAAAGUUUACAAGUUGGUAAAAUCAAGAAAAAAUAAAAGAGAGAAAGAGGGCUGCAAAUUUCGUUGCACUAUACUCAGAAGUGCCAAAGAAAUGUAGCUCUUUUAUUUAUCUUUAAGCAAUCCGACCUUACUGGGUCCCACUGAUUAGGUGACACGGAAACAUGGAUUUUAGUCCGUUCUAGUACAAUUAGUCCCAGUCAGAAAUGGGACCAAUCCCUUUUAGUAAGGCUGCUUCAGAGUCAAAACAACUCAAUCUGUCAGAUUCCACCCUUCUCCUCCAGCUUAUCUCUAAGGUAGCACUUGGGUACAGGGAAGGGGCCCUGGUGACCUCAAGAUAUCGUGGCCUCAUGCUGGCCCUUUGCUCUGUGGGGGCUGGUGACCACUGAGGCGCAGCUGGCCUUGGCCCUGGCUUCUGGUGUCCACAGCUGACCCCUGCAGUUGCUCUAACCUGUAACCUAGUUUUAUUUAUCUUGCUCAGAGCCUGAGGGCUGCUCUCCAGCUGGCUUGACCCCACCGUAGCUUUCACUGAGCCAUGGGCUCCACUGAAUCGCUACCACAUUGUCCAUCUGGCCCCUGACCAGGAGGUCCAGGCAGUGGGGUCACCUCACCACCACCACCACCCCGCAGCAGAUCCAUGGCAGGGCUGCUGGCUCUCAAUUCUACAUUCCGAGGGGGCUAAAAGAGGCUCAGGAAUGAACACUGCAUCUUUUCUCUGGCCACCCUAAUUUUAGACCAAUCACUUUGAUAAGGAGGCCAAAUAGUCACUCUUUCCUGCUCUGGGAAGAUAAGCCUCCUGUCUUAGGGAAGGCUGCAUGGGAACAUUAUUUAAGAGGGAAAUAAAAUACAUCCAUUUAUUGUGUGCAAAAAUAUCGUCACCAAUACGUAAACAAGCAAAAACGAAUCUAAGGAUGAUGACAGUAAAAAGCAGUAAGAGCCUAAGGAAAACUUCUUGACUAAAUCAUCCAGAAGAAAUGUAACAAUUUGGAGAACAAACCUUCAACAUUUUUCUGGCAACUCAAAGUCUAACACACACACCAAAAGGUGCACAAAUCCUAAGAGUAUAGUUCAGUGAAUUUUCAAAAGUGGGUCUACACUUCUGCAAUACCCAGAUCUGGAAAUAAAACAUCAACAGCACCCAGAAGACUGCCUCACAUCAUUUUCAUACCUUGACUUAUAACACCACAGAUUAGUUUCUUGUUUUUGAACUUUACAUAUGCAGGAUUACACAGUAUGUACUCUUUGGGGUUUGGCUCCUUUUAUUCAAUGCAGGAUGUUUGCAGGAUUCAUCUCUGCUCUUGUAUCAGUUCAUUCUGUGUAGAUUUCCAUUGUGAUAAUAUGUCACAAUUUACAUUUCUGUCCAUUGAAGAUGAACACUUGGGUGCUCUCUAGUUUUCAUUUAUUACAAAUUGUACUCCUAUGAACAU